rnacentral:lncRNA from 1 species
GCUAACAUCUUUCUUGGAGGAAAGGUUUUGACAUCUAUAAAUAGAAAACCCCUCUUCUCAUACCAUAGCACAAUAGCAUCCACAAUGUAGUCGCUAAAGAGUCUGGUUUAGGGGGAGAUUUCUCCCAUAGGUUUAUGCUUUUUCAUAGGUUUUAUUUUUUUAAUAUUGUUCUUAAUAUGUAGGUCGUUUGACCGAAUCAUAUUAAUAAUAUGUCCUUUUAAUAUAUGUUUUAUUUGUCAUCUGAAUUAUCACUGUUGGUCUGCAAACUUUAAGCUUCCGCAUGACGCCCUCUCGAUUUCGAACCCAACAAGUGGUAUCAGGGCCUAUGGUUCGAAGAUCCAAUGGUUUGGAAAAGCGAGGUUGAAGACAAAUCCAAGACAGUUUUAAUCAAUUUGCAAUCAAUUGAAUGAUAAUGAAGAUUUUGUCCAACUACAUGUGGAAAAGAUAUAUCAAUCAUAUUUUCAACAAUCCUGCUGUCACAUCUUUGAAAAUAAAGCUCUCUUUUAACCCUAUUUAGGGCUUCAAUACUUUUAACCCAAAAAGGAUAAUAUAUUUUUAACCCAAAAGGGCUCAAUUUUUAAGCAUGACAAGCAGUAGAGAUAAAUGAAGAUUAUGUGGAGAACCAAAAUUAUGCAUAUGACAUGAAGAAGGCGGAUCAAGUCAAGAAAAUCAAGCCAAAAAGGGGAGAUUUGUUAGGAUUUUUGCCCCGAUUUUCUUACUAAAUUUAAUUUUUAUUUUUUCUUAUAAGGAAAAUAAAAGUAACCAUAAAUACUUUUACUUUUCCUCAAAGGAAAAUAUAAAUUUUUUCCAUAUUUGGCUAAUCUCUUUCUUGGAGAAAAGGUUUUGGGUAUCUAUAAAUAGAAGACCCCUCUGCUCAUACCAUAACACAAUAAUAUUUACAAUGUAGUCGUUAAAAGAGUCGGAUUUAGGGGGAGAUUUCUCCCAUAGGUUUAUGUUUUUUCAUAGGUUUUAUUUUUUUUAAUAUUGUUCUUAAUAUGUAGGUCGUUUGACCGAAUCAUAUUAAUAAUAUGUCC